rnacentral:rRNA from 1 species
UACGUAGGGCGCAAGCGUUGUCCGGAAUUAUUGGGCGUAAAGAGCUCGUAGGUGGUUUGUCGCGUCUGUUGUGAAAGCCCGGGGCUUAACUCCGGGUUUGCAGUGGAUACGGGCAGGCUAGAGGCAGGUAGGGGAGAACGGAAUUCCCGGUGUAGCGGUGAAAUGCGCAGAUAUCGGGAGGAACCCCGGUGGCGAAGGCGGUUCUCUGGGCCUGUACUGACGCUGAGGAGCGAAAGCGUGGGGAGCGAACAGG